rnacentral:rRNA from 1 species
UACAGAGGGGGCGAGCGUUAUUCGGAAUUAUUGGGCGUAAAGGGCGCGUAGGCGGCCUUUCAAGUGACGGGUGAAAUCCCUCGGCUUAACCGAGGAACUGCCUGUCAGACUGGAAGGCUUGAGACCGGGAGAGGUGAGUGGAAUUCCCAGUGUAGCGGUGAAAUGCGUAGAUAUUGGGAAGAACACCAGUGGCGAAGGCGGCUAACUGGUCCGGAUCUGACGCUGAGGUGCGAAAGCGUGGGGAGCAAACAGG